GAUGAACGCUGGCGGCGUGCCUAAUACAUGCAAGUAGAACGCUGAAGGAGGAGCUUGCUCUUCUGGAUGAGUUGCGAACGGGUGAGUAACGCGUAGGUAACCUGCCUGGUAGCGGGGGAUAACUAUUGGAAACGAUAGCUAAUACCGCAUGACAACAGUUAUUGCAUGAUAACUGUUUAAAAGUGGCAACUGCUCCACUACCAGAUGGACCUGCGUUGUAUUAGCUAGUUGGUGAGGUAACGGCUCACCAAGGCGACGAUACAUAGCCGACCUGAGAGGGUGAUCGGCCACACUGGGACUGAGACACGGCCCAGACGCCUACGGGAGGCAGCAGUAGGGAAUCUUCGGCAAUGGGCGGAAGUCUGACCGAGCAACGCCGAGUGAGUGAAGAAGGUUUUCGGAUCGUGAAGCUCUGUUGUAAGAGAAGAACGAGUGUGAGAGUGGAAAGUUCACACUGUGACGGUAUCUUACCAGAAAGGGACGGCUAACUACGUG
rnacentral:rRNA from 1 species